CAGCAGCCGCGGUAAUACGUAGGGUGCGAGCGUCAAUCGGAUUUACUGGGCGUAAAGCGUGCGCAGGCGGCCCGUUAAGACAGGUGUGAAAUCCCUGGGCUCAACCUAGGAAUUGCGCUUGUGACUGGCGGGCUCGAGUACGGUAGAGGGGGGUGGAAUUCCUGGUGUAGCAGUGAAAUGCGUAGAGAUCAGGAGGAACACCGAUGGCGAAGGCAGCCCCCUGGGCCUGUACUGACGCUCAUGCACGAAAGCGUGGGGAGCAAACAGGAUUAGAUACCCGCGUAGUCCCUGUCUCUUAUAC
rnacentral:rRNA from 1 species